GCCUUGGUGGUGUAGUGGUCAGCACGCUCGACGUAUAACAAAGAGGUCCCUGGUUCGAUUCCCGGCGAAGGCG
rnacentral:tRNA from 1 species